GGCUUCCAAGCCCUUCAUAUAUACAUUUACAGAAAGCAGCCAAGAAUACAAAUUUUAUGGUUGGAUCUUUGUGAAAAAAAAGUUUUGGCCACAAAGGUGACUCACGCCUGUAAUCCCAAGACUUUGAGAAGCAGAGGCAGGAUUGCUUGAAGCCAGGAUUUCGAGACCAGCCUAGGAAAGAUAUUGAGACCCUGUAUCUACAAAAAAAGAGAGAGAGGGAGUUUCACUCUGUCGCCCAGGCUGGAGUACAGUGGUGCGAUCUUGGAUCACUGCAACCUCUGCCUCCCAGGUUCAAGCAAUUCUCUUGCCUCAACCUCCCGAGUAGCUGGGAUUACAGGGGCCCUCUACAACACCCGACUAAUUUUUGUAUUUUUAGUAGAGAUGGGAGUUUCACCAUAUUGGCCAGGCUGGUCUUGAACUCCUGACUUCAAGUGAUCCAUCAGCCUUGGCGUCCCAAAGUGCUGAGAUUACAGGCGUGAGCCACCGUGCCUGGCCAACCUAUUACAUUUUUAAAUAGCCAAUUAAUAGUGAAGUUCUUAAUAUUCCUCAUGAGAAAUAACAAUUGAUGUUGGUAAUAAUCAUAGAUAACAUUUACAUACAACUUAUUAUGUGCCAGACACUGUUCUAACUACCUUAUAUAUAUAUCAAAUAAUUCAAUUCUCACAACAAUCACAUGGGGUAAUUACUGUUUUUAAUCCCCUUUUUCCAGAUGAGGAAACCAGAUACAAAAAGUUCAAUUGAUUGCCCAAGUCAUGUGGCUAAGAAGUGGUGGGGCCAGGGUUUGAACUCAGUCUGUGGAUGCUGUUAACAUCUGUGGAACUCAUAUUUUGAAAAGACUCUAUAACUAUUAGAUGUGAAAGAAGGUCAUUAAGUUUGCUGCAUAUAAGACAGUUUUCUUUAUUUCAAAUCACACAGAGUCAAUGAUAGAGCUGAAACUUGCAACCUAUAUCUCCCAUUGCCCUUUGCAUGGCCUGCUGUGGGAUUCCCUCGCAGCACGAGCAUGCAAGGUGCAGAAGCUGCCACCCAGCCUUGGUAGUGAAAUGUUUCCAGUGCCUGAAUUUCUAUAUUGACCUAGAGAAAAUUUGGAUAUUGAUUCUGUUCCCUUUCUUUCCUUAAUUCAAGGUUGUUGGUAUUAUCUCUGAGUUGUCAAGGUAAAUCUUAGAGACAGUAGAGCAGUAUCUAC
rnacentral:lncRNA from 10 species